AGCAGCCGCGGUAAUUCCAGCUCCAAUAGCGUAUAUUAAAGUUGUUGCAGUUAAAAAGCUCGUAGUUGAAUUUCGGGAUCAAGGAAUCGGUCAUGCCUCGGUAUGUACUGGUUUUAUUGGUUCUCACCUUCUAAAGAACCAUGAUGUCAUUAAUUUGAUGUUAUGGGGAAUUAGGACUGUUACCUUGAAAAAUUAGAGUGUUUAAAGCAGGCUUACGCUUGAAUACAUUAGCAUGGAAUAAUGAAAUAGGACAUCAGAUUCUAUUUUGUUGGUUUCUAGGAUCGAUGUAAUGAUUAAUAGGGAUAGUUGGGGGCAUUAGUAUUCAAUUGUCGGAGGUGAAAUUCUUGGAUUUAUCGGAGACUAACUACUGCGAAAGCAUUUGCCAAGGAUGUUUUCAUUAAUCAAGAACGAAAGUUAGGGGAUCGAAGACGAUCAGAUACCGUCGUAGUCUUAACCAUAAACUAAUGCCGACUAGGGAUCGGAUGAUGUUAAUUUAUAAUGACUCAUUC
rnacentral:rRNA from 1 species